rnacentral:rRNA from 1 species
AGCGAACGCUGGCGGCAGGCUUAACACAUGCAAGUCGAGCGCCCCGCAAGGGGAGCGGCAGACGGGUGAGUAACACGUGGGAACGUGCCUUUUGGUUCGGAACAACCCAGGGAAACUUGGGCUAAUACCGGAUAAGCCCUUACGGGGAAAGAUUUAUCGCCAAAAGAUCAGCCCGCGUUUGAUUAGCUAGUUGGUGGGGUAAUGGCCCACCAAGGCUACGAUCAGUAGCUGGUCUGAGAGGAUGAUCAGCCACAUUGGGACUGAGACACGGACCAAACUCCUACGGGAGGCAGCAGUGGGGAAUAUUGGACAAGGGGGGCGACCCUGAUCCAGCCAUGCCGCGUGAGUGAUGAAGGCCUUAGGGUUGUAAAGCUCUUUUAGCAGGGAAGAUAAUGACGGUACCUGCAGAAAAAGCCCCGGCUAACUUCGUGCCAGCAGCCGCAGUAA